rnacentral:rRNA from 1 species
GACGAACGCUGGCGGCGUGCUUAACACAUGCAAGUCGAACGGAAAGGCCCUGCUUUUGUGGGGUGCUCGAGUGGCGAACGGGUGAGUAACACGUGAGUAACCUGCCCUUGACUUUGGGAUAACUUCAGGAAACUGGGGCUACUACCGGAUAGGAGCUCCUGCUGCAUGGUGGGGGUUGGAAAGUUUCGGCGGUUGGGGAUGGACUCGCGGCUUAUCAGCUUGUUGGUGGGGUAGUGGCUUACCAAGGCUUUGACGGGUAGCCGGCCUGAGAGGGUGACCGGCCACAUUGGGACUGAGAUACGGCCCAGACUCCUACGGGAGGCAGCAGUGGGGAAUAUUGCACAAUGGGCGGAAGCCUGAUGCAGCAACGCCGCGUGCGGGAUGACGGCCUUCGGGUUGUAAACCGCUUUCGCCUGUGACGAAGCGUGAGUGACGGUAAUGGGUUAAGAAGCACCGGCUAACUACGUG